rnacentral:misc_RNA from 1 species
UCCGGUUUGUCACCGGCAGUCCCAUUAGAGUGCCCACCUGAAAUGUGGCAACUAAUGGCAAGGGUUGCGCUCGUUGCGGGACUUAACCCAACAUCUCACGACACGAGCUGACGACAGCCAUGCAGCACCUGUGUCCAGGCUCCCUUUCGGGCACCCCCAGAUCUCUCCAGGGUUCCGGCCAUGUCAAGGGUAGGUAAGGUUUUUCGCGUUGCAUCGAAUUAAUCCACAUCAUCCACCGCUUGUGCGGGUCCCCGUCAAUUCCUUUGAGUUUUAAUCUUGCGACCGUACUCCCCAGGCGGUCAACUUCACGCGUUAGCUGCGUUACCAAGCCAAUUAAGACCCGACAACUAGUUGACAUCGUUUAGGGCGUGGACUAC